CAGUCGCCGCGGUAAACGGAGGGUGCAAGCGUUAAUCGGAAUUACUGGGCGUAAAGCGUGCGUAGGUGGUGGUUUAAGUCCGUUGUGAAAGCCCUGGGCUCAACCUGGGAAUUGCAGUGGAUACUGGGUCACUAGAGUGUGGUAGAGGAUAGUGGAAUUUCCGGUGUAGCAGUGAAAUGCGUAGAGAUCGGAAGGAACAUCUGUGGCGAAGGCGACUAUCUGGGCCAACACUGACACUGAGGCACGAAAGCGUGGGGAGCAAACAGGAUUAGAUACCCCAGUAGUCCCUGUCUCUUAUACA
rnacentral:rRNA from 1 species